rnacentral:lncRNA from 1 species
AGAACAAGAUAAAGUCAAUAAAUAAAGGAUGGGAUAGAGAUGGAACUCAAAGCAUAUUAACUUUCCUGUGGAUUUAGACCGAUGAAUAGACCCUCCAAACGAAAUUGUAAAUCAGAUUCGACGGAAAAUUGGCAACAAAGGACUGGACCGGAAAGGUAAACUCGAACAUGGACUUUCGCUGACCUCGACAUUCACCGGAAAAUUCAAACUAAACCAAAAACGAACCCAACGAACUCCAUGACAGUAGCUCAUGGUUUGGAGUUGUUUCGGGCUACUUCAGGUUGUUUUGAGGAAGGUUUGAGGGGUAGUAAAGGCUGCUGGGAGAUGGGGUUCUUGGAGUGGAGGUCCGGCGAUUUGGUGGUGGUCUACGACGGCUCCGAGUUCGCUGGUUUUCUGGCGGCUCAUCUGUGUUGUGUGUGUAGAAGUCUUGGUCGCUGGUGGGGUGAGGGUGGUCGUUGGUUCUUCUGUUUAUGGCUGCUGCCACUGAUUGUUGAAGAAGAUGAGUUUUAGGUCUCUUUUGUGUUUGGGUGUGAGGAUGAAGAAGAGAAACGGUGGGGUUAGAGAUGGAGUUCAGGGGGGUCUCCUUGCUCUAGGGUUUUCCAGGUUCUCUGCGGUUGUAGCUUAGGUCUUUUUUGUUUUGUAGGUUUUUUUUAGGUUCGUUCCCUUUUUGGUUGCUGAUGGGCGUUUUAAGUAGUAUAGGUUUUAGGUCUUAGGUUUAGGUUAGUAGGUAUUGGAUAUUGGGCUUAAUGGGCUAAUCCAAAUUGGACCAAAAAUUGGGUUAUAAGACUCUUAAAAUUGUGGUCCAACACCUUAAUUAACUUCCUUUAAUAUAAGAUAAAAAUACUACACAAUACAAAAACUAAUCCUAAUUAAUUAAACUAAACUACAUUAAAACAUGACACUAUUGUUUUUGUAUUUUCAAGAUUAUAUAAAGAUAAAAAAUAAGGUAUUAUUUUUGUAUAUUUUUUUUAUUUAAAUUUAUGAAAGAUACAUAAACUAAAAUACUUUUUGUAAUUUUUAUUUUGUGACGAAAUAAAGUAAAAGAGUCAAAAUUAGUUGAAAUAGCAAUAUUAGGCCUAAACUAAAUAUUUACAUGCUAAAAUAUAAAAAAUCUUGGGGAGGGUCAAAAAUCACACGUCUACUAAUACAAUAAUAAAUGAGAAUAAGAAAAGGUGACCCCAAGGCCUGUGAACGCCGAGCAGGCAUACCUUGAAGUCUUCAAUAAAAUAGCUAGCGGGAAUCUCUAUCUACUGGCACAAACAUACAUACUUGGAUCUGCACAAAAAAUAUGUAGAAGCAUAGUAUAAGUACACCAAUAUGGUAUCAGUAAGUAUCGAGCUUAACCUCAAUAGAGUUGUGACGAGUUCAGGUCAAGACACGUAAUAGGAUAUAAAUAAGCAGUAUAAAAUUCAAUAAGGAUAAAUAAGGGAAGACAUGAAAUAGCUUAUACGAAAUAAGAUAAUAACCAGAACAUAUACCGAAACUUAACAUGGGAACACAUAAGAGGAACAACGAAAGAAAACUCAAGUAGUCCUAUACGGACAACAACUGCCAGAACAAAUAAGAACAAAGUAACAAGAAAUAUCUGAAAACUCCUUGCAACAUGAAAUCAAUAGCAAGAAUCACAACGAGGUAACGCCUCGUAUAAUCAAACCAAGGUACAACCUUGUAUAAUCAAGAAACACAACCGAGGUACCGACUCUUAUUCACAUUCCCAAGUUUCAAUAACAAUCUUUCCUUCUACCGUCGCGUGAGUCUUACAUUUUAUAAUAGUUUCUGGAAAACAGUUUUCCCAAAAUAGUUACAGGCACUUUAACCCAACAUUAUGACACCAUGUGGCUUCAUGUAGUUCCCCUACAAGAAACACUCACAUAAGUCCCACCUUAUACCGCCGCAUGCACAUCAACCCAAGCCUUAUACUGUCACAUGCGCAUCAAUAUCAUAUCACAAUAACAAUUCGCACCACAAGUGCCUAUAUAUCACAACUUGCCAACAACAACAACAAUAAUAUUUUCACAACAAUAGCCCAUGGCUCUAACACAGCGUAUACGAGAAUAUCAACAACAACAAUGGAUGAAAAAUGUUCAAUAAGAUAGAUGUUUCAACAAUAACCAACAUUGCCUCAACAUAUUAAUGAUUUCUACAACUUCAGCACCAAAUAGCUCAAUAAUGAGAGAAAUAAUGUAUAACUACAAUAUUAUAUAAGACUAAUUCCACCGUAAAAGAGAUAAUAUUCAACAAUGAGUCUCAAAUAAUAGAAAUCAACAAGUAAAAGGAUAACAUGAAUAAUUACUUCAACAGUGAUUAUUAACAAUGAAGAAAUAACAUGUAACAAUAAAGGACAGAAUAAGUUUAACUAAAGAAUGGGAGGUAUUUAACAAGUAGGAUGUAGAACAAAUACUAAACAAGUCAACUAAGGUAUUAAGGAUAUUUUAACACAAUUAAGGAUAAUUUGACUAUGAGAGAUUAGAACAUAAAAAGGCAUUUCAAUUAAAGCAUGAAAAUAGUCUAAGUAGUCUAAAAUGGUCAAAUACUACGUACAACCCGUGUACUCACACCUUGCGUACACGGAUUUCACUUAGCAUGAGUGAAUCAAAUAAUAUUAAUCCUAAAGGGUAGUUUUCCUGCACGAUGUUAGAUAAGACACUUACCUCAAUUAGGCCAAUUCAAUAUUCAGAAAUAGCUUUUCCCUUACAAUUCACCUCCACACGGCUCAAAUCCAACCAAAAUCGACUCAAUAACAUCAAACAAUGCUAGGGAAUUCAAUCACAAUAGAUAGAGUUAGGAUUUACACAUUUUUUAAAAAGUCAACAAAAGUCAAUCGAGGGCUCGCCCGGUCAAAACUCGAUUUCAAUGGUAGAUUUCAUCUACCCAUGAUCUCCACGAGUUCAUAUAUUAAAUUAGUUUCAAAAUUCGAGUCCAAACCGACUCUCAAAUCUCAAUUUCUUAUUUUUCAAAACAAAAGACAGUUUCACAAAUUUCUACUUUGAUUCACAUGAUUUUGAUAUUAAAAUCUAAGAUAUGUUGAUGGAAUAUGAUUAGAAAUAGAUUAGAAUCACUUACCCAAGGUUUGUAGGUGAAAAUUCCCUCUCCAAAUCAUCUUCUACCGAGUCUGGGGUUCAAAAAUGAGAGAAUAAACCCAAAUUCCUAUCCCUAACCUAUUUGAUCGUCGCAUAUGUUGUAAAUGCGACCUGGGGUUCACAAUUGCGAACCCCACAAAUGCGAAGAAUCUCUCGCAAAGGGGAAGAUCCUCCCAUCUCUGCUAUCAUCGCAAUUAAGAACCAUGGACCUCCACAAAUGUGACCAUGUAGAUCGCAAGUGCGUACAAGAUCUUCCCAAGUGCACUUUGCAAAUGCAAACACUAGGUUCGCAUAUGCGUACCCAACAGACUUGGACUACCUUCUCAAAUGCGAACUUAGACAUAGCAAAUGCGAGAUCUAAGACGUGUAGAAAACAAGGAACUUUGAUUCCAACAACACUCGCUAAGCGUCUGAAACUCACCCGAGCCCUCGGGUCUCCAAACCAAACAUCCAAACAAGUCUAAAAAUAUCAUACGAACUCGAUCGCACGAUAAAAACCUAAAAAUAACAUCUAAACUACGGAUUGAGCUCUAAAACGCAAGAAGUUCAAAGAAAUUUUCAAGAACUUCUAAAAUUACAACUGCACAUUUGAUUCCUGUCAAAAUCAACUCCAAACGACACCAAAUUUUGCAGAGAAGUUCUAAAUAUCAUAAUGGACUUAUUCCAACUCCCAAAAUCAAAUUCCAAGUUCGAUAGCUAAAAUUCAACCUACGGUCAAACUUUUAAACUUAAAAUUGCCAAAUUUUGGUAAAUUAAAAUAAAUCAAACUACGGACAUCCAAAAUCAGUUUUGGGCAUACUCCCAAGCCGAAAUUACUAUACGAAGCUAUCAGAGUCAAAACAUAGUUUUGGGGUCAUUUUCAUAAAAGUCAAAGUUUGGUCAAAAUUUUCAAAUUUAAAAUUCUAAGGCAAGAAUCAAUGGUCCAAAUCAACCCGAAUGCUUCUCGAAACGAAACUAAUCAACCCCGCAAGGCAUAAAAGCAUAAAAACACAUGUGUGAAACAAUAAAAGGGGUAGCGGGGUGCAAUUACACAAAAUAACUGAUCGGAUCGUUACACUCUCCCCUUCUUAAAAUAUACGUUCAUCCUCAAACGUGCAUAAGAACAUACCUGAAGUGGUGAAUAAAUGAGGAUAACGAUUUCGCAUGUCGUGCUCAGUCUCCCAUGUUGCAUCCUCGACCGUAUGACCCCUCCAUUGAACCUUCACUAAAGCAAUAUUCUUUGAUCUCAACUUCCGGACCAGCCGGUCCAAGAUAGCCAUAGGCUCCUCAAUGUAAGUCAAACCCUCGUCCAAUUGGACUUUGCUAAAGUCUAGAACAUGAGAUGGAUCGCCAUAAUACUUUUGGAGCAUAUAUACAUGGAACACUGAAUGAACCGCAAAUAAACUAGGUGGUAAGGCAAGCUUGUAGGCCACCACUCCAAUCCUCUCAUAGAUCUCAAAAUGUCCGAUAUACCUAGGGCUCAACUUGCCUUUCCUUCCAAACCUCAUCAUACCAUUCAUGGAUGAAACCCGGAGCAAGACUCGCGCUUAACCAUGAAUGAAACAUCACGAACCUUCCGAUUCGCAUAACUUUUCUGUCUAGAUUGGGUUGUACGACAUCAAUAUCCUGAUUAUCUUAACCUUCUCAAAAGCAUCUCGAACCAGAUCCGUGCCUAAUAACUUAGCCUCUCUUAGCUCAAACUGCCCAACUUGAGAAUGACACCGAAUCCCAUAUAGAGCCUUAUACUGAGCCUUCUAGAUACCCAACUAGUGGAUGUUGUUGUAGGCAAACUCCGUAAAUGGCAAGAUUUGAUCCCAAGCACCCUAAAAUCCACAACACUAGCGCGAAGUAUAUCCUCCAAUAUUUGAAUAGUGCGCUCAAAUUUUUCAUCCAUCCAAGGAUGAAAUAUUAUAUUCAACUAAACCCAUGUGCUUAGCUCAUAUUGUACAUCCUUCUACAAAUGCGAUGUGAACUGCGUACCCCUGUCAGAGAUGAUAGAUACUGGUACGCCAUGAAGUCGGACAAUCUCGCGGAUAUAAACCUGAGCUAGCUGCUCUGAAGAAUAUGUAAUCAUUACCGAAAUAAAAUGAGCCGACUUGGUCAACCUGUCCAUAAUCACCCAUAUUGCAUCAAACAUCCUCUGAGUUCGUGGGAGCCUAACAACAAAGUCCAUGGUGACACGCUCCUAUUUCCACUUAGGUAUCUCAAGCCGCUGAAGCAAACCACCCGGUUGUUGAUGCUCAUACUUUACCUGCUGACAAUUUAUGCAUCGAGCUACAUACUAUAUUAUGUCCUUCUUAAUCCCCCUCCAUAAUUAGUGGUGCCUCGUGUCCUGAUACAUCUUAGCGUUAUAUGGAUGAAUGGAGUACCCUGAACUAUGGGCCUCAUGAAGAAUCAACUCAUGCAAACCAUCCAUAUUGGGCACACAUAACCGCCCCUACAUCCACAAUACAUUGUCACUCCCAAUAGUAACCUCCUUAGCAUCGUUGUGCUGAAGCGUGUCCUCGAGGACAGGCAGAUGGGGGUCCUCAUACUAAUACUCUCUGAUACGGUCAUAUAAAAAAGAUCGAGAAACCACGCAGGCAAGAACUUGACUAGGCUCCGAAACACCAAUCUAACAAACUGGUUGGCUAAGACCUAAACACCAAUGUUAAUGGCCUCUCUACUACCGGUAGAUAUGCUAAACUACCCAAAUUCUCCACCUUUCGACUCGAGGCAUCGGCCACCACAUUGGCCUUACCGGGAUGAUAUAGAAUGGUGAUAUCAUAGUCCUUAAGUAACUCUAACCACCUUCAUUGCUGCAAGUUAAGAUCUUUCUAUUUGAAUAGAUGUUGUAGACUCCGGUGGUCGAAUGACCUUACAAGGAACACCGUACAAAUAAUGCCUCCCGAUUUUCAAUGCAUAAACAAUGGCUGCCAACUUCAAAUCGUGGACUGAAUAAUUCUUCUCAUGAGUCUUCAGCUGACGAGAUGCAUAGGUAAUCACCCUACCGUCUUGCUUCAACUCCGCGCCAAGGCCAACACGUGACACAUCAUAUUACACAGUAUAACACCCUGAGACCGAAGGCAAUACCAAUAAUGAGGUUGUGGUUAAAGUAGUCUUAAGAUUUUGAAAGCUCGCCUCACACUCCUCAGUCCAUAUGAAAGGAACACCUUUCUAGGUAAAUCUGGUCAUAGGUGUGGCAAUAGAUGAGAAUCCCUCUACGAAAUGACGAUAAUACCCAGCCAAACCACGAUAAACUCCGAAUUUCAGUCGCUGAAGAUGGUAUAGGCCAACUCUACACCACCUCAAUCUUCUUCAGAUCUACCUUGAUCCCGUCACUCGACACCACAUGUCCUAAAGAUGCCACCGAUUGAAGCUAGAGUUCACACUUUGAGAACUUUGCAUAUAACUUUUUUUCUCUUAAGGUCUGGAGCAUGAUCCUUAAAUGAUGCUCAUGAUCUUCCCUACUGCAGGAGUAUAUCAAGAUGUCCUCAAUAAAUACAAUGAUGAAUGAAUCAAAAUAAGGCUGGAAUACACUGUUCAUCAAGUGCAUAAAUGUUGUUGGGGUGUUAGUCAGCCCAGAUAAUAUCACGAGGAACUCGUAGUGACCAUACCGAGUCCUAAAGGCAGUCUUUAGAAUAUCCCGAUCCUGAAUCUUCAACUGAUGAUAACAUGACCGCAAAUCAAUCUUGGAGAACACUCUGGCACCCUGUAGCUGAUCAAAUAGUUCAUCAAUGCGCGACAACUGAUACCUGUUCUUCACUAUAACCUUGUUCAACUAAUGAUAAUCAAUACACAUAUGCAUAGAACCAUCCUUAUUCUUCUUCACAAAGAAGACCGGAACACCCCCCCCCCCCCCCAGUGACAUACUAGGCCAAUUGAAUCCCUGAUCAAGCAACUCUUACAAUUACUCUUUUAACUUCUUUAUCUCUGCUAGGGCCAUAUGAUAUGGUGGAAUAGAAAUGGGCUGAGUGCUCAGCAAUAAGUCAAUACCGAAAUCGAUAUCCCGCUCGGGCAACAUACCUAGAAGAUCCGCUGGAAAUACAUAUGGAAAGUUUCUCUCUACCAAAAUUGACUCAACGACAGGAGUAUCAACACUGACGUCACGCACAAAGGCUAGAUAAGCAUUACACCCCUUCUCAACCAUCCGCUGAGCAUUUAGAAGUUAGAUAACCCUGCUAGGAACAUAAUCUAAUGCACCGCUCCACUCUAACCAUGGUAAACCUGGCAUAGCCAAUGUUACUAUUUUGGCGUGACAAUCAAGAAUAUCAUGAUAGGCCGACAACCAGUCCAUCACCAAGAUAACACCAAAGUAUACCAUACUAAGUAACAAAAAAUCAACUCUGGUUUAAAACAACCAAUAACAACUAAACACGGCCGAUACACACGGUCCAUAAUAAUAGAAUCUCCCACAGGCAUGGACACAUAAAAAGGAAAACUCAAGGAAUCACGAGAUACAUCCAACUACGAAGCAAAGUAAGAUGACACAUGUGAAUAAGUGGAUCGCGGAUCAAAUAAGACUGAUGCAUCUCUAUGGCAAACCAAAACCAUACCUGUAAUGACUGAGUCUGAAGAAACUGCCUCUGACCUACUCGGAAGAGCAUAUAAUCUGUCCUGGCCUCCCCCUCUAAGGUUACCUCUACCCACCCAUCACCCAUCCCUAGCUGGCUGAGCGGGUGGAGUGGUAACUGGGCAAAAAUCAUGGCCUGAGAAUUCGGCUUACCUGACUGAAUCCGUGGAGCCUGAGUAGUCUAGGAAGGUGCACCCCUCCUGAGUUUGGGGUAGUCUCUGACCAUUUGGAGGGUAUCACCACACUCAGAACAAGCUCUCGGUAGGUUGGGACUAGCUCGGGCAUGAUCGGCUAGACUGACUGCUAGAGGUGCCCUAUGUAGGAGGUGCACUAGAAAUUUGCUGAGCAAAGUGUGCAACCUGAGAUCUUGGAACAACCGAAGCACCACUAGAAGGUGGAAGUGCCAAGUGAACUGGCUGGUUCACAUAGCCCUUACCAUGACGAGCUGAAGAUGCAGCGUGACCACUACUAAAUUCUCCCAUGCCACAAGACCUCUUGGCCCCCCUAUCAUCAAUAUCACGGUCUCGCAUACCCUCCAAUCUUCAUGCAAUCUCAACCACCUGUUGAUAUGGAUUAUCUGACUCCAACUCUCUAGCCAUGCUAUAUCUAAUACUCUGGUUAAUCCCCUUAAUGAAUCGACAGUCUCACAUACCCUCCAAUCUGCAAUCUCAACCACCUGCUGAUACGGAGUAUCUGACUGCAACUCCCUGGCCAUGUAUCUAUUACUCUAGUUGAGCCCCUCAAUGACUCGAGGGACUCACUCCCGGACUGUAGCAACCAAUGCUGGUGCAUGCUUAUACAAAUCACUAAAUCGGACAACAUACUAUGACACUGAUAUAGUACCUUGGCACAGCCGCUCAAGCUCCACGCGCCAAGAAUCCCCAAGGGUCUUAGGAACAAACUCUCUGAUGAAAAACUCUAAAAACCAAUCCCAUGUAAGUGAAGUUGCCUUAGCUGGGCUACCCACCUCUUGUGACCACCACCACUGAUAUGCCGCUCCUUUUAGCUGGAACAUAGUAAAAGAAACACCAGUCAUUUCCAUAAUGCCCAUAGUGUGUAGAAUGCGAUGAGACUCCUCAAGAAAACCAUGUGCAUCCUCUAAAGACAAACCAUUAAAAGUAGGAGGGUGGUACUUCUUGAACCUCUCAAGCCUAGGAUGCUCCCUCUCGGAUGUUGGUGGCCUAACCACGUGCUGAACCGGAGUAACAAGUUGUACCAGUAUAACCUUUGGGACCUAACCAACCUGGACCCGCUGCUCUGGCGUGUGGGCCACGUGAGUCUGUGCUCCUCCCCCAGCCAAAAAUGUGGUUGGGACAAGUGGGAUCAACCCCGCCUAAGCUAAGUUGCUGAACAUGCUCAAGAACUGUGUGAGGAUCUCCUGAAGUGCUAGGGCGGCAAUAGGUGCCUCAGAUGUCUUUUCCCAAACUGGAGCUACUGGCGGCUACUGUGUCGCAGCUUGAGCAGGUGCUCUAGAUUCACCAUGUGCCCGUCCUUGACCUCUGUCCCAAUCCUAACCUCUCGCGGCUUUAGUAGGGGGUGCAGGAUUCAGAUCAUAGGAUCCAAUGGUGUGUGUCCUCAUCAUUCGUGAGAUAAUAAAAAGUCAAAGAUUUAGUUUUUGUAAUCAACUACUCACACAAUAAGAAAUCAAAGAAGUGAGAUUUUCCUAAUAGUUCGGUAGCCUCUCGAAGAUAAGUACAAACAUCUCUGUAUCGAUCCGCGAGACUCUACUAAACUUGCUUAUGACUCGCAACACCUAUGAACCUAGAGCUCUGAUACCAACUUGUCACGACUUCCAUUUUCCUUCAUAGGAUAUCAUGAUGAUACCUAGUCUCUACGACUAGGUAAGACUAAUAAUAAUAAUAAUUGAACUGAUAUAAAUUAAUGAAUUACUAAAAGGAACUGAAUAAUAAAUAUAAACCUUCCGAAAACAGAAUCUCACACUACAUACCCCAAAACCUAGUGGAACUGGGUCAUAAGCUCUACAGAGUAUAACAAGAGUAACUACUACAUCACUGUCCGAAAGUAAAUACAAUAAUAAAUGAGGAUAAGGAAAGGUGACCUCGAGGCAUGUGAAUACCAAGCAUGCAUACCUUUAAGUCUCUGAUAAAAUAGCUAACAGGAAUCUCUAUCUACGGGCAGAAGCGUAUGUACCUGGAUCUGCACAAAAAACAUGCAGAAGCAUAGUAUGAGUACACCAAUAUGGUACCCAAUAAGUAUCGAGCCUAACCUCAGUAGAGUUGUGACGAGUUCAAGUCAAGACAUGUACUAGGAUAUAAAUAAACAGUAUAAAAUUCUACAAGUAUAAAUAAGGGAAUGAAUGAAAUAGCUGAUACAAAUAAGAUAAUAACCUGAACAGAUACCGAAACUUAACAUGGGAACACAUAAGAGGAAAAAUGGAAGAAAACUUAAGUAGUCCUAUACAGACAAUAUCUUUUAGAACAAAUAAGAACAAAGUAAAUAUAAAUAUUUCUACCGAAAACUCCUUGCAAUAUGAAAUCAACAGCAAGAAUCACAAUGAGGUACCGCCUCGUAUAAUCAAACCAAGGUACAACCUCAUAUAAUCAAGAAACACAACCGAGGUACCGCCUCGUAUUCACAUUCCUCUAUUUCAAUAACAUUCUUUCCUUAUACCGUCACGUGAGUCUUAUAUUUGAAAAUAGGUUUUGGAAAAUAGUUUUUCUAAAAUAGCUACACGGACAUUAGCCUAACUUAUGAUGCCGCGUGGAUUCACGUAGUUCACCUACAAGAAACGCGCACAUAAGUCCCACCUUAUACUGUUGCAUGCACAUCAACCCGAGCCUUAUACCGCCGCAUGCACGUCAAUAUCAUAUCACAAUAAUAAUAUGCAUCACAAGUGACCAUAGAUAACAACUUGCCAACAACAAAAAUAUCAAUAUUUCCACAACAAUAGCCCAUGGAUCCAACACAAUAAGAUAGAUAUUUCAACAAUAACCAAUAUCGCCUCAACGUAUUAGCUACUUCCACAACUUCAACACCAAAUAACUCAACAAUGAGAGAAAUAAUGUAUAACCACAAUAUUAGAUAAGACUAACUCCACAUUAAAAGAGAUAAUAUUCAACAAUGAUCUCAAAUAAUGGAAAUUAACAAGUAAAGGGAUAACAUGAACAAUUACUUCAACUAGGAUAAUUAAAAAUGAAGAAAUAGCAUGUAACAAUAAAUAAGAAAACGAGUUCAACUAAAUCAUGGUAUCAAUUUAGAAAGUAGGAUGUAGAACAAAUACUAAACAAGUCAAGUAAGGCAUUUAAGGAUAUUCUAACAUAAAUAGGAUAAUUUGACUAUGAGAGUUUAGAACAUAAUUGGACAUUUCAAUUAAAUUAUGGAAAUAGUCUAAAUCGGUCGAAUACUACGUACAACAUGUGUACCCACUUAUCACCUUGCGUACACGGAUUUCACUUAGCAAAAUUGAAUCAAACAAUCCUAAGAGGUAGUUCCCCCAUACGAAGUUAGGCAAGACACUUACCUCAAUUAGGCCACAUCAAUUACAAUCCGCCUCCACACAGCUCAAAUCUAACCAAAAUCGACUCAAUAACAUCAAGCAAUGCUAGGGAAUUCAAUUGCAAUAUAUAAAGUUAUGAUCUUUAUACUUUUUUCCAAAACGUUAACCAGGGGCUUGUCCGAUCAAAACCUGGGUCCAAUGGUAGAGUCCGUCUCCCCAUGAACCCACGAGUUCACAUAUGUGAUUAGUUUCAAAAUUCGAGUCAAAAUCAACACUCAAAACUCAAUUUUUUUUCUUUUGAAAAACUAGACAAAGCUUCACAAAUUUCUACUUUGAUUCAUAUGAUUUUGAUGUUAAAAUCUAAGAUGUGUUGAUGGAAUAUAAUUAAAAAUAGAUUAGAAUGACUUACCCAAGGAUUGUAGGUUAAAAUUCCCUCUUCAAAUCAUCUCCUACCGAGUCUAGGUUUAAAAAAUGAGAUAAUGAACUCAAAAAUCACGUCCCUCACUGUGACCUGGGGUUCGCAAUUGCGUUACGAACCCCCAAAAAUGCGAACCCCCGCAAAUGCGAAGAAUAUCUCGCAAAUAUGAAGAUCCUCCCAUCUGUGCUAUCAUCUCAAUUGCGAUGAAUAGUUCGCAAUUGCGAACCAUGGACCUCCGCAAAUGCAGCCAUGUAGAUCGUAACUGCAAACAAGCUCUUCCCAGUGCACUUCGCAAAUGUGAACACUGGGUUCGCAAAUGUGUACCAAACAGACUUGGCCUACCUUCGCAAAUGCGAACUCCGACCUCACAAAUGUGAGAUUUGAGGCUUGUGCAGAAAACUAGCAACUUUUAUUCUAUAAACACUCCGCUAAGCAUCCGAAACUCACCCGAGACCUCGGGGCUCCAAAUCAAAAUCCACACAAGUCUAAAAACAUCAUACGAACUCACUCAUGCGAUCAAAACAAAAAAAUAACAUCUAAAACUACGAAUUGAGCUCUAAAACACAAGAAUUUCAAAGAAAUUUUCAAGAACUUCUAAAAUAACAACUAAGUGUCUGAUUCAUAUCAAAUCAGCUCCAAAUGACACCAAAUUUUGCAUACAAGUUUGAAAUACCAUAAUAGACCUAUUCCAAUUCCCAAAAUCAAAAUUUGAGCUCGAUAACUAAAAUUCAACCUACAGUCAAUCUUUUCAACUUAAAGUUUCCAAGCUUCGGCACAAAUCAACCUACGAACUUCCAAAAUCAGUUCCGGUCAUACACCCAAGUCUGAAAUCAUGAUACGAAGUUAUUGGAGUCAUAAAAGCACAAUUUUGGUAUUAUUUACUAAAGUCAAAGUUUUGUUAACAUUUUCAAAUUUAAACUUCUAAGGCAAGAAUCAACGGUCCAAAUCAACUCGAAUGCUUUCUAUAACGAAACUAAUCAAUCCCACAAGUUGUGAAAGCAUAAAAACACAUCUGGGAAGUAAUAAAAAGGGUAACGGGGCGCAAUUACACAAAAUCAGGUCGUUACACAAAUAUUUUAUUCUAGCUUAAUAAAGUAAGUCUCUAGUCCAUUUGUAACGACCCACCCAGUUGUUUUGAGAAUUAGCAUCCUGUUCGGAAGCAUAAGGUCUCAAGAAUCUCAUUAUUAUGUGUUAUGACUUGAGUGUAUGGUCGAGUUUGGUUUUUGGAUGAUUCGGGGUCAAUCUGGAAGAAGGAUUCUUGUAUUAGAAGCUUAAGCGGUAAGAGUUGACUAGAGUUUUAGCUUUGAGAAAAUGACUCCGGAAUGGGUUUUUUGUGGUUCCAACAGCUUCGUAUGAUGAUUUCGGACUUAUGCAUGCUUCCAGAUUUUGUGUUGGAGGUUCGUAAGGUAAUUUGAAAUAUUUCGUCGAAAGUUGGAAAAGUUGAAGUUUUGGAAGGUUGAGAGGUUUGACUAAGAUUUUAUUUUGAUGAUAUCGGUGUUGGAAUAGCUGUAUUAUAUCAUUUGGGACUUGCAUGCAAAAUUUGGUGUCAUUCCAGAUUGAUUUGGUAUAAUUCGGCUCGAGUUUUAGAAGUUGGAUGAUUUGAAGGUUUAUAAGUUUGAUUCAUGGUGCGAUUCAUAGUUUCGACAAUGUUUGAUAUGAUUUGAGGCCUUAAUUAGGUCUGUGUUAUGUUAUAAGACUUGUUGGUAUAUUCAGAUGGGGUCCCAAAGGGCUCGGGUGAGUUUUGGAUGAGCUUCAGAUCAAUUGGAACAUUUUUAGGGGAGGUUGGUUUGGCCGAGUUCUGGUGUGAUCGCACCUGCGGUCCC